ACGGGGUGUGCGGGAUGUCACAGAGGUAUACGGGGAUAGUACAUGGCGUGCGGAGCGGCUCAGAAUGUGCGGGGCCGGUGCAGGGUGUGCGGGAUGUCACAGGGAUAACGGGGGUAAUCCAUGGCGUGCGGAGCGGGGCCGGUGCAGGGUGUGCGGGAUGUGACAGGGUAUACGCGGUAGUACAUGGCGUGCGGAGCGGCUCAGGCUGUGCGGGGGUGGCAGAGGGCAGUGCGGGGACAGGGCACAGCCGUCGCUGGCGGAGGUUGGUGCCGGUGCGGGGGAGCGGGGCACUGCCGAGCCCUGUGUCAGCGCCGGCUCCGUUCCGGAGCAGCGCCGGCACCCCGCGCACCGGGCUGGAACGGCCUUUACAGCCCGGCCCAUCCCGCCCCGCUGCUCUGGAACUGGCAGCGGUGACACCAGGCAGCUUACUCCUGUCACAGCUGCCGUCACCUCCCGUGCGUGUCACAGCACCGACCUCUCUCCCUGACUGCAGCCCGUGUGUCCCUGGGCUGGAGACAGCUGAAAUUUGGCCAUCCUGCAUCUUCAGAGUACAAACAUACCCAGUCCAGACUCAGAAUGAGCUGCAGCAACUGGAUAAAUCUACUGGGACCAUGAAGAAUUCAAAUGGUUAAUUUGGGUUAAAAGUCGCUCUGCAGGUGGGAUGCCUCCUGUCCCUCAAGUGGCUCAGCAGAUCAUCCAGGAGGAAAACCAACAGCAAAAUGGACCAAAUUUGUCAAAUCUGCUCAAUUCUUACACAGCAGGAACCCAGCUCUGCCCCAGCAGGUACAACCAGCAGGAUGGGAUAAGAACCAUGUGCUUGUGCUCCCAGCUCCAGUUCUCUCACAGCAAAAGGAAAAUGAAAUUCUGCAGCGGACAGCAGCACUGAGGAAAGGAAGUUUUUGAUCUCUGAAACCUCUGCCCAAACUCCAUGAGGCCCCACAGCACAAAUCACACCAUGAUUUCUCUUUUGGAGGAAAUGCAGUGGAUGGCAACAGAUUUUUUUCAAGAAAGAAGAUAAAAGAUGAUAACAACCAAGAGAAUAAUCACACAGACUUGUCUCUGUUUGAUGUGAUUGGGAUGGAAAACCAAAUCACUUGCUAUGAAGCACAAAUGCUGCCAAAACUGAAGGUAACUGGAAAGUUUAUGGAAGAGAUCUCCUGCUCCCCUUCAGCACCCAGACUUGAGCCAGUGAAGGUCCAACCAAACAGAGACCUAUGUGUGUUCCCAGCUGGAGCUGUUGCUCCUCCUUGUUUGUAUGGAGCAAAUCCUCCUUACAUAUGGACCCAUGGAAUGCAACCCCUGCAGUUCAGUCUGGAGGAGCAAAGGUGGUGCAGGAAUUGAUGAUUCAGUUAUUGGUGAUUCAGGUAUUGGUGAUUCAGGUGUUGGUGAUUCAGGUAUUGGUGAUUCAGGUGUUGGUGAUUCAGGUGUUGGUGAUUCAGGUGUUGGUGAUUCAGGUAUUGGUGAUUCAGGUAUUGGUGAUUCAGGUGUUGGUGAUUCAGGUGUUGAUGAUUCAGGUGUUGGUGAUUCAGGUGUUGGUGAUUCAGGUGUUGGUGAUUCAGGUAUUGGUGAUUCAGGUGUUGGUGAUUCAGGUAUUGGUGAUUCAGGUAUUGAUAAUUCAGGUAUUGGUGAUUCAGGUAUUGGUGAUUCAGGUGUUGGUGAUUCAGGUGUUGGUGAUUCAGGUAUUGGUGAUUCAGGUGUUGAACACCCACCACUGCUCACACCUGUGUGCAGGGGCUGUCUCUGACUGUGAGUGUCACCUGCAGAACCCUCAGCUUCUCACUCAUAACCAGGCAAGUUGGGAGCUCUGUCCUGCUUUGGCAGCUGAAAGCAGAAGGGGCAGCAGGUGCUGGUUUUGACACAGAUGAUUGCAAUGCUCAACAUCCUGGAGCUUUCCCUGAAUUUCCAUUUCCCCAUGUGAGUGAGAGUGGUGCUCACAGCUGGCAUUAUCUGGUAAGAGGAUCUCUUCCUCAAGCUCAUAGUGAGUUGAUGCUCAUGGUGGGAGGGAGAAUGCUAAAGGGAAGUCUAAGACAUUUGCAAGAUUCAUUUACAUAAUUUCCUUAUUUAUUGAAGCAAAUUAUGUAUGUAGCUGUAGCUCAAAUAUGUAAUUAUACAUGAAGUAUGUCAUUUGAUGAGGCAUCUAGGGUGUUGCCAAGGAGUAUGCCACUAGUUAUCCUACCUUUAUGAGCAAUUUGUGCUUCAAAUGCAGAUGGUUUUUUGCACAAUAGCCACUUGAUUAAUUUGCUUUUGCUUUCAUUAUCUGUAGCUAUUUACAUUGUUAGUACUUUAAGUGUAGUUGGUGUUUUUAUGUUUGCAGUUCCUCAGCCUUACUCCAGGGGCUUUUAUUUUGUAGAGUGCCCUGGCAUUGCCUGAGGAUAAAUUGAAAGUAUGCUCCUUUCCCUCCCCAGUAAGAUUCUCUGUAUCCUCUGGGGCCUACAAUUUGAGCAAACAUUACCAAUAUAUUGAAGUUUUUUCUUACUUUUUAUUCCAAACUGCAUCAUUAUGCUUUCUGUUAGAUGCAGUAUAAAACAUAAAAGAAUACUUUGCCUUAAAGCAACACAAGGGAGCACAACAGAAAGGAUUUGAUUUAGUCAUAGACAAGAAAAAUGAUGGAGUAUGUGCAGGAAUAACAACUCAGUCAGGUGUUCUUAGUCAUAGGCCAUGAUGUGAUUACUUGUAAUAGAUCUUUAGGUUUUAUAUGGCUGACUGCACCAUAAAUUAAUAGUUUUAAUGAUAGAUUAAUUAUGAGCUGUGUAGAUCUGUAAUGUGGCAGUCAGAUAACUUGAAAUGUUUGCACGCUUAAUGUAGGUUGGGGAAGUAAUAAGAAAGCAAUUUUUCCAAUCUUCUCAUUCUCUUAAAAAAAAAGUUUGUUUAGAGAUUUAUCCUAUAUUAAUGUCAAUUUGUAAUUAAAUUGCUUGUUUCCCCAUUUUAGGAAUUCAUAAAAAGCUUCAACCAAGACAAGUGAUCCUUCUGUGCUGUCCUGUCUUGCCACACUCCCUGCACAGGUGUCAGUCACACAGAUGUGAUUCCUCUUGUCUUCUGUGACGCUGAUGGACACAGAGAUGGCAUGGUGUGACAAAACAGGAAGAGGCAGAGAUACCCACACAUGCAGGUUUGCAGGUAAUUCUAUUGAAGAGAGGCUGUUGAAAAAAUGUAUUAAACAUGAUUCAACAACUGGCUGCUCAGGGAGGGGAUUGUUCACUUUUUAUCCCAGGUACUGUAACAUUAAGAAUGUGAGCAGUUAUUUGAUGAUACAUAAAAAAAUAAGUGUUUUACUAGAUCUGAGACAGAAUUUUAAAAAGGUAGUGGUUUCUUUAUUUCUAGGCUUGAUUGGGAACCAGUGAUGUGUGUUCACAGUUAAAUUGAGUAGAAAUCCUGAACUGUCAGCUCAUAUAGAAAAUCAGACGGUCUUGGAUCCUAUCAGUGGUGUGGUUAACUCUUGCAACAAUGUUUAUCACUCCCCAAAGCAACACCAAAAUUGUUACAUAAAAACCAUUGCAGGUCCAGAGGGAAAGGAGAGUUUAAGUUGAAACUCGCUUUGCAUUGUGAGGACUUGGGGGUUUUGGGGUGCUUUUUGUUGAUUUUUUUUUCCUUUUAAUUCCUUAUAGCUGUUAGAGUACUAUGGGAGUUUUGACUAAGCAAAAACAUAACUAGAUUUUAGAAUUUUGUAUAGCUUGGUAUACAAACAAAUGCUGGUAAAUACCUUUUCCUAACAGUAUGACUAAUAUAGGUUACAUUUAUUACAUUUCCAUGCACUUAGGAAUAUGAAUUUCCCCAAUGUUAUGAUAAUAUGACCUUGGAUGUAUCAUUUUGCACUACCAGUAUGUUAAAAAUAAGGGAGAGGAGACGUUUAUUUUAAGUGGUAGGAUAUGAAUUGUCUUCACUCAAGACUAUUGAUAACUAUGAAUUUUGAGAGUGGGCACUUUUGAUUAGGUAUUUUUGGUACCUAAGCCUUCAUUUUGUAUUUAUUCCAGAAUGUAGGUGGUCAUUCUCUUUGUGUUAGACAAGCCUGUGCAAACCACCAGAAUUCUGAGUGUAUUCAAAUCUGUAUAAAUCGCUUUGAGUUGAUGACAAUGACUACUAGAAAAAAAAGUUCCUCAACUAGAUUUCUCUAAGUUUACUUUUACUGUCAAUAUUUUCCUCAGAUUUAAUAGUAAAUCACUGGUGGCCUGAUUGGUGAAUUUGUUUUUUCUCCUGAACACGAAUGUAUUUCACGGGGAUCUUUUCUUAUCAAAGGCUCUGUGAUAAUCUUUAGCCUUAAGGUAAAAUAGUGUUUACUGUCCAAGAAUCAAAUCUGUGCUUGUUUUGAUGUAAAGAAAAGCCUGAAGUGCGGCUCCAUCUGAUGUACCCAAGUCCUUCCUCAUGUCCGGGUGGACCCUCCUGAGCAUCAGUGAGUGCGCGUUGUGUCACCUGGCACCACCGAGCAGAGCCGGCCGUGCUCCGAGCUCUCUGCACACCCUGACAGACGGGGAUGGAUGGGGUUCCCUGUCAGCUCGAGGCUGAGCAGCUCCGGCUCCCUCAGCCUUUUCCCGUCGGAGAUGCUCCAGCCGCUUCAUCUCCGUCGUUCCCCGGCCGGCCCCGCUCCGGGCGCUCCCAGCCUCUCCUGCCCUGGGGACUCAAGCCCCGCCAGCUGCAAGUGUGCCUUUUCACACCGUGUAUUGAAGGGUAGCGAUAGCCCCGCUCCGUGCGCGGACAGAAACUGCCCUUUGCUCGGUGCUACAAUAAAUAUCAUUUAUCAGCGCU